GCAUUUGAUUUGAAGGAGCUAGAUAGUAAAAAGCACGAGCACCUGCUAUAAUAGUACUCGGAAGAAGAGAGAAAAAGCAAGACUUUAUUGACUCAAGUAGUUCCUUUAAAUCUGAAUGUGUUGAAGGAGUUGAAGGCUCGGGUAAUGUAAGUCUGGCAUAUCUAACCAAUGUUUUCAAAGCCACUACUUUGUCCCAGUCAUUCAUUUGCGGGAAAAGAGUACAUAUCCUAUGAUAAUAUGGAUGAAUAAUUUCUAAUUUCUCAGGACAAACGACUUCAAAAGUAAAUAAUGCAGCUGGGACUACAAUAGGACUAUUAUCAGAUAAAAGCGUUUUGAUGUGCUCUUCCAAUUGCGAUUUAUAUGAAGGGUCAAGAGAAUAGCACUUUGUAAUUGCCAAUGCCGCACUUUGGCGAACGCGAUCAGCUGUAUCAGUAAUGCAUUGCUGAAUUGCUAAAAGAACGAUUCCAUUAAUGGCAGGCACCCUGAUACUGCUCAUAACUCUAAUUGCGGUAGAUCUAGUUAACGGGUUUUUAUCAUACAGUGUUUUUUGAACAGUAUUAACAGACAGCAAAGCAAGAUCUGGAUUGAACUCAGCAUACUGGAGUAAAUAAAUAUGGACCAGGCGUCGUAUUUCCGGAUUUUCUGAAGCAACUAACUUCACAACAUCUGGGAAGUAUAACGACAUAUUUUCGCCGUGCAUCAUUUGAGCUAAAAUGAAGUUAAUCGCCUCUAAUUUGCCAGCAUCAGAGUUGGAGUUCAAGAGGCGUAAUAAAUCGGAGUGGGAAAGCUCAUUUUCUUCGAAAGAAAGACUCGAGCUUUUUGCUAUCUGCUUUGCAUUUUCCGCAAGCCCGCUUAAAGUCUGAAAGAACGAUAGAUUAGACAUUUGAAGUAGGCCAACGUAAGGAAAUCGGCGUGUAAUAGCAGUGGAUGCACUCAAAGAGCUAAAAAAUGAAACCACUCCUAAUAAAAAUAUUAAUUUAAUAAAAAAUGCAAAUCCAAGGAUUUAUACUGCCGCGCACGGAUUUUCAAUGAACCUUGGCAGUUGCUUGGUUGAUAUGUGCUAAAACAUUAUACAUACCUCACUAGUGGUGUUUCGCUACUAAACACCAUCAGUGCAUUUCUUCAUCCAAAUUACUUUAAGUACAUUGCAUAUUAAAUUAUUUAAAUAGUAACUUACGAACAGUUUCAAGUGAAUUUCCUCAUGUUUUUCUCUUUAAGCUUUUUUUUUUUUACAAAAGGCAAAAAAGAUCACGAACUUUAAAGCUCACAUGAUUAAUGGGAUAAACCAAUACAUCAAGUUAUUGUUUAAUGAGCAUAGCAGCAGUGAAUUAUUUAAAUCAUAGUCUUGGUUAUUCAUAACUAUCUUGUCUUUUAGCAUUAAUGUUCAGCCAUGAGACAAACGGUAUUAUUUUCAAUGCUACCUUUUUAUAUCAUCACUAUGUAUUUGUUUUAUUAGGCUGGUGUUUAAACUCAGCUAAGCAUUAGUUAUCUCAACUAAAAGAUUGUAUUAAUAUUUAGUUCGUAAGGCUGUACAUUUUAAAGAAUGCAGUUUCAUUUUCCCCCGAGGAUAAAUUUAUUAAAUAGCUGUUUUUCUUUAUUUUUAUCGUUGUGUCGAUAAAAUAAAUAAAUUAUCUAGAACUUGUUGUUGCAAGGUGUAGUUGUGAUUAGGGAAAAUAGUUAUUUUUAAAGAUUGCACUUGAAAACGCCGAAAUAUAUUUCAGUUCU